rnacentral:rRNA from 1 species
UACGUAGGGGGCAAGCGUUGUCCGGAUUUAUUGGGCGUAAAGAGCUCGUAGGCGGUCUGUCGCGUCUGCUGUGAAAACCCGAGGCUCAACCUCGGGCCUGCAGUGGGUACGGGCAGACUAGAGUGCGGUAGGGGAGAAUGGAAUUCCUGGUGUAGCGGUGGAAUGCGCAGAUAUCAGGAGGAACACCGAUGGCGAAGGCAGUUCUCUGGGCCGUAACUGACGCUGAGGAGCGAAAGCGUGGGGAGCAAACAGG